rnacentral:rRNA from 1 species
AUGGCCGGCGAGGAGGAGGUGCAGGUGGUCGAGUCCUCGUUCGUCACGCCGGCGGCGGACACGCCGAGCAGAGCGCUCCCGCUGUCGCCGUUCGACCUCAUGCUAGCCAACAGAGGCUACACCCCACUCGUCCACUUCUACCGCCGACCAGAAACCGCCUGCGACGACUUCUUCGACGUGACAAGGUUGAAGACGGCGUUGGGCAAGGCACUUGUGCCCUUCUACCCCCUGGCCGGCCGCUUAAGGGCAGGCGCCGACAGCCGGUUACAGAUCGACUGCAACGGCAAGGGCAUGCUCUUCCUUGUGGCUCAGUGUCGUCUCACCAUGGAUGACUUCAACGACUUCAAACCAUCCUCAAAGCAAAGAAGGUUGUUUGUUCCCCACGUCGACAACUCAGACGGCCUCUUGUGGGCUGCACAGGUGACAUUUUUGAAGUGUGGUGGGGUGGUCUUAGGGUCGGCAACGCACCAUGCUGCCAUGGACGGCUCUGUUGUAUUCCACUUCUUCCGGACGUGGUCAGCUUUCUCCAGGGACGGCGACCGGGCUAUGGUGAACCUCCCCUGCCAUGACCGCACACGCUUGUGUGCGCGUGAUCCACCCGUUGUUCAUCCCGAAGCACUUGCUGUUUUUAGCCCCAAUAUCAACCUACCUCCACAGCCGGGGCAUGUCGUCAACGAGGUUGUUGUCUUCACCCUUUCCAAGGACCAACUUUCAACUCUCAAGCGCAUUUCUGGUGGGGAUGCCGUGAGCACCUUCAGUGCAGUCAGUGCCCACCUGUGGCAAUGCAUGUGCUUAGCCCGGAUGCUACCGCCGGACGCUACGACCCAGCUUAUGUUCUCAGCCAACAUCCGUCGCAUCAUGAGGCCACCACUCCCAGACGGCUACUUCGGCAAUGCUAUAAUAAACCUAAGUGUCACCGACAAAGUGCGUGACAUCAGUUCGUGUGAGCUGACAUACAUCGUGCGGCGAAUCAGAGACACCCACAGCCGGGUGAACAAUGAGCUAGUGCAUUCGGCGAUCGACUACCUCGAGCUAACAAAGAGAGACGACGAGCGCCCGGCUGCAGGCAAUUUGCCGGUGACCGACAUAAGAGUUGUCAGCUGGCUUGGCAUGCCGUCGUAUGAUGCGGAUUUCAGCUGGGGGAGGCCAUUGGCUAUGUUCCGUGCUGAACCAAACCGUGGAGGUUUUGUGCACCUGAUUGACAGUGCAGAGGGUGAUGGCAGUGUGCGCAUCAUCAUGUCUAUAGAGGUUGCAAUUCUCAGUGAGUUCAAGCGUUUGUUGUAUGCCAAAUUCAACAACAUGUUGUAUUCCAAGUUUUAA